GAUAAGUCAUGAUGAUGUUUGAAACAUCAUCAUGAUGGUUUUGUUUUGUAGAAGAAAAGAAAGGAACGGAUGGAGAAGAAGAAAAGAAAGGAAUAAAAAAAGAAAAGAAGGAAUAAAAAAAUUUAAAAGAAGAAUAAGAGGAGACCUCGUGGAGGAUACAAGCUGCCUUUGGCAGCGUGGCAGUUAGGCGUGGGGAGAGAAGCAAAGCUGCCUUUGCAGCUGGGCAGAGAGCAAAUGGAGAGCAGAAAAACAAGAAGAAGAAAAAUAGAGAGCUCACGCCACUGCUUGGCAAGGGAAAGCGGAAACCUCUGCACUCUCUUAUUUCGGUUCUAUUUUCCUAAACUCAUGUUUAACUUUUGGUUUAAUUUGAGAAUAAUGUGUAACUAAUUUUAUUUUAGCUAGAGGUUAAUUCAAAGCCAUGAAUAUAUUUGUAAUAUGAAUUGAUUACUUUCAGUUGUGAUUUCUGAGUUGUGAUUUAAUUUGCUUAACUGCUUGAUUGAUAACUUAUUUUGUAUGUCGAUUAAGAAUGCAUACUUAAUUUACAUGCAUGAAUUUGAUGCUAGAAUAUAAGUGAAUUUCACCUAAUCGUUAUGAACUUAUAUUCACAAGUAGUGAAGGUUGUUAUCCACAAUCGUGUUAAGUGAAUUCUUGGCAAGAGUAUCAUGCUUUUCAUAGUUACGAAUGCCUCGUCAAUGCUUAUAGUUUUCACAAAGUUUAAUGAUCUUUGAUUGUAUCUCUAUUGUGCUUUUCACGUAGGGGACUUUUGAAGAAUGUUUUGAAUUGUUGUAUGCGUUUUCCCGUCCAAUUCAAUAACUUAAGGAAAACUUGAAGAUUAAAAAAGUGCUGUUCACGGUUAAUCUGAAGUGUUGAGAUUCACAAUUUAUUGAAAGAACAACUGAAAAUCAAUUUAGGUUGCAUAUGUGUCAUGUGUGGAGAAAAACCCUCUAGCUAGUCCGUAACCUAUCCUUUCACCUUAAUUUCAUGUUUUUGUCAAUUCUGUAAUUUAUUUAAGUUUAAUUUACUUCUCGUCAAAACCAAACACCCCCCAUUAUUAAAUUAUAUUAUUUAGUUAGUUUUCAUUGUUGUUAGUCUUUUAAUUCAAUUUCCGUCCAUUUCAGUUCCUAGUGUCUAAAUUGAGUGUUUCCAUUAUUUUGAGUCAUUCUAAGUGUGUUUCAAGUUAUUAGAGUUUUUAGCCUAGUUUUGUGUCCUUGAGUCUUAUUAAUAUUUUUUAAAUUAAUUUAGAAUAGAUUAGCAAUCCCUCCUAAUCCCCGGCCUAGAACGAUACCCUACUUACAUACUUUACUACAAUUGUCAAAAAGAGGGUUUAAUUUGUGUGUCAAGUAAUUUUACGCAUCACACCUCCAAGCCCUUUGCUCCUUGAAAUCCUUGAGCCUAGCUUCC
rnacentral:lncRNA from 1 species